AUAAAUCAAAACUUUCAACAACGGAUCUCUUGGUUCUGGCAUCGAUGAAGAACGCAGCAAAAUGCGAUAAGUAAUGUGAAUUGCAAAAUUCAGUGAAUCAUCGAAUCUUUGAACGCACAUUGCGCCCGCCAGUAUUCUGGCGGGCAUGCCUGUUCGA
rnacentral:rRNA from 1 species